AGGUCAGGGACAAGAUGGUGCCGCCGGUCCAGGUCUCUCCGCUCAUCAAGCUCGGCCGCUACUCUGCCCUGGUCCUCGGUGUGGCCUGCAGAGCCAAGCGUUACAGUUACCUAAAACCCCGGGCAGAAGAGGAGAGGAGGGUAGCCGCGGAGAAGAAGAAGAGGCAGGAUGAGCUGAAGCGGAUCGAGAGAGAACGGGCCGAAGCCCAAGAUGACAGCAUACUGAAGUGA